GGGGUUGUGGCUCAGUGGUAGAGCAUCUGUUUGGCAUGCACGAAGUACCAGGUUCAAUCCCUGCCAUCACCA
rnacentral:tRNA from 1 species